rnacentral:rRNA from 1 species
CAAUAGCGUAUAUUAAAGUUGUUGCAGUUAAAAAGCUCGUAGUUGGAUUUGUGGCGUACGGUGUGUUCCGGGCACUUGUUGUCUGAGUAACCUGCUGUUGCCAUCCUUGGGUGGAACCUGUGUGGCAUUAGGUUGUCGUGCAGGGGAUGCCCAUCAUUUACUGUGAAAAAAUUAGAGUGUUCAAAGCAGGCUUAUGCCGUUGAAUAUAUUAGCAUGGAAUAAUGAGAUAGGACUUUUCUGCUAUUUUGUUGGUUUGCGCAAAGAGGUAAUGAUUAAUAGGGACAGUUGGGGGUAUUCGUAUUCCAUAGUCAGAGGUGAAAUUCUUGGAUUUUUGGAAGACGAACUACUGCGAAAGCAUUUACCAAGGAUGUUUUCAUUAA